CCACCACGAAGAGGAUGACUCCAUUCUCCACCAGGCCCAGCAGCGAGGCCAGCCCGUGCAGCAGCACGGUCGCGUGGUCGAUGUAGCGGAUGCUGGUGUUGCUGUGGCUCCGGAGAUGGCUCAUCUCCUCUAGGAUGGGGCAGAGCGGCUUCAGCGUGGCGUUGGCGGACAUCGUGGGGUUCUGCAGUGGAAGGAAGGAGGUGCCUAGGUUGGCAGUGCAGGGGCCACGGGGGAACCAAGAGAGAGGCCUGGGGUGGGACCGUCCCCAGGAGAUGCCAAUGUGACCCAUGAAUAUAUUGGGCGGUGGGGGCGGGGGGAGUAACAUCCCAGCAUUGCUGUGCCUGGGCAAGUCAUUUAACCUUCCUGAGCCUUUUUCUGAAUCUAAAACUUGGAUGUCAGUCAUAACAGCACCUAGCUCAUAGAGUUAUUGGGAGCAUUAAAUGAGUUACUACAUAAAAGCAUUUAGAACAUGGCCUGGCACACAGCAAGCGCUGUAUCAGUGUCAUUGUGAUGACUAUGAAGCAAACGGUCUAGGAUCACACAGAGAAAUAGGAACAAGGUCAGGCCCACAGGACUUCUUUUUCCAAUCCCCAGAGCACUGGCGGGUGAAGGAGUCCCCACAACUAGGGCAAGAGGGUCCUGCUGGCCUGGGGGAUGGAGAUGCUCCCCCUUCCCACCCACAGCACCCCCAGACCUUGCUCCGUGCAGCUCCCCGCACUCAGUGGUGGCUGGUUAGAUGUGUUGACUGUGAACAGUGGAACCAGCCCCUCCUCUGAUAGUUGGAGAGGAAAUAAGAUAAGAGCCAGGAGAGCUGGGUAGGAGGAACUCCCACAUGGGGCUCUGCAGGCCCAAUGGGGCCAAAAGAUCUCUCCCCGCUCAGGAGCAGCCACAGCAGCGCUCUCUGCCCUGUUCAUUCACUUACUCCCCCGCGCACUCAUCCAGAAAUAAGACGUGCAUGCUCACAUCCUCAUUGAAAGCCUGAAGACCAUCUGAUGUGAGGCUGGUCAGGGUCAGUGAGGGCUGAAGAAAUUGCAUGAGGCUCCAUGCAGGAGGCAGGGGGCAAGUAGCCAGGGACAGGGACUCGGGUUGUCCUGGGCACCAGUGACACUCCAGGUACUAUGGUAGGUCCUUCAAUAGGUGCUGUCUUUCUGGCUCUAGAAGAAUGGUGCUAGUACUCCAUCCCAUUUUACAGAUGAGAAAACUGAGCCUCAAGUGGUUAAAUAACUGGCCCAGAGCCACCCAGACAGCACAAACAUGUGGAGGAGCAAGUUUCAUGCUCAGCCUGUGCUCUUUCCUCUGCCCCUGUUCCAAGGAAGAGAGGAUGGAGGAGGAAGAAGGAAAGUGGGAGAGGGGAGCAAUGGUCUUUAGUACUCAUCUUUCUAGGGAAAACACUGUUGGCCAGGAUGAGAAAACCCACUCCCUUCUAGAGACCACAGUCCUCUAUAGGGUGGGGUCCUGGGUUAUCAAACUAGAAUUUUGCUGGCAGAUGAGCCCCUUGGAGCUGGGAAUCUGCAGGUAGAUGGAAAAGGAGCCUGUGCUACCUGAGAAUGGGCACUUCCUAGGCUUUAGAAUAUGCAGAGCAGUUACUCUUGCAAUGGACCUAUGAGACCCCAUUUUUCAGAAGAAACUGAUGAAGGUCAGAAAAGCACAGCAACUUGCCCCGCAUUCCUCAGCAGCAGCGGUGGGGCUGGGACUUCACUCCCAGCAGACAGCCAAGUGCCACCCACUGUCUGCCCUGAAACAUUCCCUGCAGACCAGCUGCUGCUUCUCCAAGUCCCAUGGGGAUGAUCAGAGAGCACAGUCCUGCCAUCCUUGGGAACCGCCAGAUCAGUCCUUCUGACUCAAUAGAGACAGCCCCCGGCCUCCCAAGAUUCUCAGGAGCCCAGCAGCUAAGGUCCAGCUUUGGCAGGUGAAAAAAAAAAAAAAAA
ensembl:lncRNA